rnacentral:rRNA from 1 species
CCGGCGCACGGGUGAGUAACACGUAUCCAACCUGCCGUCUACUCUUGGACAGCCUUCUGAAAGGAAGAUUAAUACAAGAUGGCAUCAUGAGUCCGCAUGUUCACAUGGUUAAAGGUGUUCCGGUAGACGAUGGGGAUGCGUUCCAUUAGAUAGUAGGCGGGGUAACGGCCCACCUAGUCUUCGAUGGAUAGGGGUUCUGAGAGGAAGGUCCCCCACAUUGGAACUGAGACACGGUCCAA